GAUGAAGAACGUAGCGAAAUGCGAUAAGUAAUGUGAAUUGCAGAAUUCAGUGAAUCAUCGAAUCUUUGAACGCACAUUGCGCCCAUUAGUAUUCUAGUGGGCAUGCCUGUUCGAGCGUCAUUUCAACCCUUAAGCCUAGCUUAGUAUUGGGAAUCGACUUUACUGUCGUUCCUCAAAUUCAACGGCGGAUUUAUAGCAAUCUCUGAACGUAGUAAUUUUUUUCCUCGUUUUUGAAAUACUAUAAACCUCAGCCGCUAAACCCACAAUUUUUUUAUGGUUGACCUCGGAUCAGGUAGGAAUACCCGCUGAACUUAAGCAUAUCAAUAAGCGGAGGA
rnacentral:misc_RNA from 1 species